ensembl:lncRNA
CUGAUAAUGCCUUCUGAUUGGCUGUAACCCCGUGGGAGGAGACGUCUGAUAAUGCCUUCUGAUUGGCUGUAACCCCGUGGGAAGAGACGUCUGAUAAUGCCUUCUGAUUGGCUGUAACCCUGUGGGAAGAGACGUCUGAUAAUGCCUUCUGAUUGGCUGUAACCCCGUGGGAAGAGACGUCUGAUAAUGUGAUCAUGGACUUCUGUGGAGUCGAGACACCGGAGGAUGUCACCAUGGAUACCACCUGAUGUCGCCAUGGAUACCACCUGAUGUCACCAUGGAUACCACCAGAUGUCGCCAUGGAUACCACCUGAUGUCACCAUGGAUACCACCAGAUGUCGCCAUGGAUACCACCUGAUGUCGCCAUGGAUACCACCAGAUGUCGCCAUGGAUACCACCUGAUGUCGCCAUGGAUACCACCAGAUGUCGCCAUGGAUACCACCUGAUGUCGCCAUGGAUACCACCAGAUGUCGCCAUGGAUACCACCUGAUGUCGCCAUGGAUACCACCAGAUGUCGCCAUGGAUACCACCUGAUGUCGCCAUGGAUACCACCAGAUGUCGCCAUGGAAACCACUCACUGGCCAUGCCAGCCAAUCAACCGCGAGGAAUCUAGACGGUGACCUCAGAGCCAGGUCGUCCAACUGAGCCUUUUUUGCUGGAGGGUGUGAGUGAGAGUUAAAGGAGUAAGAAGAGUGUGUGUGUGAGAGUUAAAGGAGUAAGAAGAAAGAGUGUGUGUGUGUGAGAGUUAAAGGAGUAAGAAGAGUGUGUGUGUGAGAGUUAAAGGAGUAAGAAGAGUGUGUGUGUGAGAGUUAAAGGAGUAAGAAGAGUGUGUGUGAGUGUGAGAGUUAAAGGAGUAAGAAGAGUGUGUGUGUGUGUGAGAGUUAAAGGAGUAAGAAGAGUGUGUGUGUGUGUGAGAGUUAAAGGAGUAAGAAGAGUGUGUGUGUGUGUGAGAGUUAAAGGAGUAAGAAGAGUGUGUGUGUGUGUGAGAGUUAAAGGAGUAAGAAGAGUGUGUGUGUGAGAGUUAAAGGAGUAAGAAGAGUGUGUGUGAGUGAGAGUUAAAGGAGUAAGAAGAGUGUGUGUGUGAGAGUUAAAGGAGUAAGAAGAGUGUGUGUGUGAGAGUUAAAGGAGUAAGAAGAGUGUGUGUGUGAGAGUUAAAGGAGUAAGAAGAGUGUGUGUGUGAGAGUUAAAGGAGUAAGAAGAGUGUGUGUGUGUGUGUGAGAGUUAAAGGAGUAAGAAGAGUGUGUGUGUGUGAGAGUUAAAGGAGUAAGAAGAGUGUGUGUGUGAGAGUUAAAGGAGUAAGAAGAGUGUGUGUGUGAGAGUUAAAGGAGUAAGAAGAGUGUGUGUGAGUGUGAGAGUUAAAGGAGUAAGAAGAGUGUGUGUGUGUGUGAGAGUUAAAGGAGUAAGAAGAGUGUGUGUGUGUGUGAGAGUUAAAGGAGUAAGAAGAGUGUGUGUGUGUGUGAGAGUUAAAGGAGUAAGAAGAGUGUGUGUGUGUGUGAGAGUUAAAGGAGUAAGAAGAGUGUGUGUGUGUGUGAGAGUUAAAGGAGUAAGAAGAGUGUGUGUGUGUGUGAGAGUUAAAGGAGUAAGAAGAGUGUGUGUGUGUGAGAGUUAAAGGAGUAAGAAGAGUGUGUGUGUGAGAGUUAAAGGAGUAAGAAGAGUGUGUGUGUGUGUGAGAGUUAAAGGAGUAAGAAGAGUGUGUGUGUGUGUGUGUGUGUGUGAGAGUUAAAGGAGUAAGAAGAGUGUGUGUGUGUGUGUGUGUGUGUGAGAGUUAAAGGAGUAAGAAGAGUGUGUGUGUGUGUGUGUGUGUGUGAGAGUUAAAGGAGUAAGAAGAGUGUGUGUGUGAGAGUUAAAGGAGUAAGAAGAGUGUGUGUGUGUGUGUGAGUUAAAGGAGUAAGAAGAGUGUGUGUGUGUGUGUGUGAGAGUUAAAGGAGUAAGAAGAGUGUGUGUGUGUGUGUGAGUUAAAGGAGUAAGAAGAGUGUGUGUGUGUGUGUGUGAGAGUUAAAGGAGUAAGAAGAGUGUGUGUGUGAGAGUUAAAGGAGUAAGAAGAGUGUGUGUGUGUGUGAGUUAAAGGAGUAAGAAGAGUGUGUGUGUGUGUGAGAGUUAAAGGAGUAAGAAGAGUGUGUGUGUGUGAGAGUUAAAGGAGUAAGAAGAGUGUGUGUGUGUGAGAGUUAAAGGAGUAAGAAGAGUGUGUGUGUGUGUGUGAGUUAAAGGAGUAAGAAGAGUGUGUGUGUGUGUGAGAGUUAAAGGAGUAAGAAGAGUGUGUGUGUGUGAGAGUUAAAGGAGUAAGAAGAGUGUGUGUGUGUGAGAGUUAAAGGAGUAAGAAGAGUGUGUGUGUGUGUGAGAGUUAAAGGAGUAAGAAGAGUGUGUGUGUGAGAGUUAAAGGAGUAAGAAGAGUGUGUGUGUGUGUGAGUUAAAGGAGUAAGAAGAGUGUGUGUGUGUGAGAGUUAAAGGAGUAAGAAGAGUGUGUGUGUGUGAGAGUUAAAGGAGUAAGAAGUGUGUGUGUGUGUGAGAGUUAAAGGAGUAAGAAGAGUGUGUGUGUGUGUGUGUGAGAGUUAAAGGAGUAAGAAGAGUGUGUGUGUGUGUGUGUGAGAGUUAAAGGAGUAAGAAGAGUGUGUGUGUGUGUGUGUUAAAGGAGUAAGAAGAGUGUGUGUGUGUGAGAGUUAAAGGAGUAAGAAGAGUGUGUGUGUGUGAGAGUUAAAGGAGUAAGAAGAGUGUGUGUGUGUGUGUGAGAGUAGCAGAGAUCUUUAUGUGUCAGUCGAUGUGUAACUAAGAGCAGGAAGGAUGACCAUGUGUACGUGUGUGUAUGUGUGUAUAUGUGUGUAUAUGUGUGUAGGAUGUGUGUGUGUGUAUGUGUGUGUGUAUAUAUGUGUAGGAUGUGUAGGAUGUGUGUGUGUGUAUGUGUGUGUGUAUAUGUGUGUAGGAUGUGUAGGAUGUGUGUGUGUGUAUGUGUGUAUGUGUGUGUGUAUAUGUGUGUAGGAUGUGUAGGAUGUGUGUAUGUGUGUGUGUAUAUGUGUGUAGGAUCAGUGGGGAUGUGUGUAUAUAUGUGUGUUUGUGUGUAGGAUCAGUGGGGAUGUGUGUGUAUAUGUGUGUAGGAUGUGUUGGAUGUGUAGGAUGUGUGUGUGUAUAUGUGUAGGAUCAGUGGGGAUGUGUGUGUGUAGGAUGUAUAGGAUGUGUGUGAUAUAGGUGUGUAAACAUGAAGUGUGUGUGAUAUAGAUGUGUAAACAUGAAGUGUGUGUGUGUGUGCAAACAUGAAGUGUGUGUGAUGCCUUCUCUCACACCCCUGAGCCCUGUGAAGAUAUACGCAGACCUCCUCAGUCCUGUGAACUCAACCAAACUGAUCCAGCUGUACUGUGCCCACCCCGCCGAUGGCAGCCGGAACUGGCCCGGAACUGGCCCGGAAGCUGGCCCACAUCUGCCAUAUAGCCCUCAACUCAACACUGCCUCACGGAGUCUGCGCACAGAGAAGGAGUUUAACGAGUUUAACGAGUUUAAAGAUUAGACUUUUGUACUGUUGGACAACAAUAUGCAGUCAGAACUGUGAUUCAUGACCUGUGAUGACAACAACAUACACACCCGACACUUUGUCCCUUUUUGGAAAUGAAUCGUUGAUGUUUGAAUAUUAGGUGUAUAAAAAAUAUAUUCUUAUCCUGUUUUUAAAACGA